rnacentral:lncRNA from 1 species
AGAAAUUUUAUUAAAAGAAAAAAGAGAGCCCCGACGCUACAAAGGAUCGGAACACAAAAAACCGACUAAAAGCAAACAAAAACCGCGUAAAAACCCCCCCCACAAAGUACCGCGGGAAGACGAAAACAAAGGAAACGAAAGCUAAGAAGAAAAAAUUAAAAAACAUCCUCGUCCCCAACAUCAUCAUCAUCCAACAUAUCACCCCAUUUCUUCUUUUUG